UCUCGACGGGAGGCGGAAAGAGAUUCCCUCCUCAACACACUUCCUGCCAGGCUCGACCAAUCGGCUGGCAUCGCGGCUGGCCGGGAGAGAGGAGAGACUCCCCACCCAAUGAAAUCGCCUCUGUGGGGCCUCCAUCCCCUUUCGUCUGCUUUGUCUAUGUUGGACAGCAAAUGGACAAGAAAGGACCCAGCUUCUACGAGAUGUCAAAAAUGAACUCGAAAAAUAAUGUUCUUGAGUGUCGUGUUUGCGAAGACAUAUUCGCCAUUCAAGGAGACAAAGUUCCACGAUUACUUCAUUGUGGGCACUCUGUUUGCCAUGCCUGCCUGAUGCGACUGCCUCAAAAGGAGGCAUCAAUCCUGUGCCCAUUUGAUCGCCAGCCUACACCAGUUGGGAACUCUGGUGUUUGGGGAUUAAAGAAAAACUUUUCUUUGCUGGAACUCCUUGAACGCCUCCAACAUGCUUCGGACAAAGCAGCAAUAUCAUUUUUCCUAUCCGCAGAAGCACUAGAAUUGGAAAGAAAGUUAGCUGUAAACUGUGAUGAAGAUGAAAGUCACGUGGCUGUUUUAUAUUGCACUGUGUGUGGAUCACAUCUCUGUGAAGAAUGUUCUGAGCUUACCCACUCUACACGAACACUGGCUAAACAUCGCAGAGUUCCCCUCUCUGAAAAACCAAGAGAGAAACCGAAGUGUCCUUCUCAUCCAGCUCAUCCUGCAGAAUUUGUGUGCCUUGAAGAAGAGUGCCAGGCAUUGGAACCUGGGAGCAGCCGCCUUUUGUGUUUCAUAUGCAAAGAUUAUGGGAGGCACAAGUCUCAUAAGCACGGUCUUGUGGAAGUGGAAGCUGAGCACAUCCGAUCAUCAGUGGUUAAUGCCAUGCAGCAUGUUCGGAAGCUGAUGGAAGAAAUGAGUGAGGCUGUUCAUAGAAUUGACAAUGUUGCUCAGAGGCUGGAAGGUUCAGAUGUGGCGAGUGUCUCAGAGGGUCGACCAGGCACUGCUGCUCUUGCCCGAGCUCGAGUCCAGGACUUUUUUCAACAGCUCCGAGACUCCCUGGAGUUGCAAGAGGCCGCAGCUCUGACUGCUGUAGAUGCUCACCUUCGACAGCGACUUUGCACGCUGCAGCAACUGCAAACCGACUUAGCGUCUUGGCUGAGCCAGGUUGCCUGCGCGACUUUGCAAUGUGAACAAGCAAUCCAACAAGACGACGGCCGAGUUAUCGUGGCUGCACGAGAAAUAAAGGAGGCCUUGUUGUCAAUUGAGAAGCAGCAGCAGCAACUUUCCGAGCUGUCCCCAGAGCAGUUGCAUCCAGAGCCAUGCAUACCAAUAACAUUCACCAAGGAUAAUAGAGUUCACAUUGGGAGAAAAAUAGAAAUGCGAGUAGUAUUUUUAGGUCUGGAUGGAGCAGGAAAGACUUCGAUUCUUUUCAAACUGAAACAAAACGAAUUUACAGCAGAGAUACCAACAAUUGGGUUCAAUGUUGAAAGCCUUGAGUACAGAAAUCUUAAAUUGACUGUGUGGGACGUUGGUGGCCAGCACAAGCUGAGACCUCUGUGGAAGCAUUAUUACCUCAACACACAGGCUGUUGUGUUUGUGGUGGAUUCAAGUGAACCAGAGAGAUUUCCAGAGGCUCUAUGUGAACUGGCCAAGCUGAUCUCAGAGAAGGAGCUGAAAGAUGCCUCUCUGCUGAUUCUUGCCAAUAAACAGGAUCUAGCGGACAGUGAGUCAAUUGAAAGAGUUACUGAUGAGCUUACGCUGAACAAAUUAUGCUGUGGUCGGAAUUGGCAUAUCCAAGCCUGUGAUGCUCAGAGUGGAGUUGGCCUCCAUGAAGGGCUGGAUUGGCUCUCAAGACAAAUGGUUGCCUCAGGUGUCUUUGACAUCAGCUGAAUAUUUCAUUUUAGUAUUCAACUUCUGAUUGCUAUUGGGGAAGAGCAUUUGAUGCAACAGCAAACAAGAUAUUUAUCAUAAGUAUACUUGCAAUCAAUCAGAAAAUUUUUCUUUCUGUUUGUAAUAAGUGUUAGGAGCACCAUUAUCUACAAAUAAUUGAACAUUGGAGUAACAGGCCUGUCUAAGAUGCCUUUGAAACAUUGAAUUCAAUUAAUUACUCAAUUUGUUUGGUAAGAAUGUUAAGGAUUCCUAGCCAGUGUUGUUUUUUUCUUUGGACUGUUUGUCUUUUCCAAGGGGGCAACGACUGGUUAAUUUCGUGUCAGCCGGCUUACGGAUUACACGGAUUUGCCCCUGCAUUACAUCCGAAUUACAACAAAACUUAUCGUGGAUUACCUUUGGAUUACGCAGGAUUACCCCAGAUUACCUCAAAAUUUUCCCGGAUUACCCGGACUACGGAUUACCAAGUUGGUGUUAGCCGGAUUACCGUCGUUACUCCCUCGGUCUCUUCUAAACAAACCCCCUUGCUCUGAUCAUAUUAUUUUAACUCGUUGUAAGUAUCCAAUUGUGUGCCUCUUCGUGUUAAUCAAUCCCCAUAGACUUCCUGUAUGAAUGCAUGAUGAAUGAGAACUACAAGACAAAAUAAAAUAAAAAUACUCUCCUAGAGAAGAGAAAAUAUGA
rnacentral:misc_RNA from 1 species